rnacentral:rRNA from 1 species
UACGUAGGGUGCAGGCGUUAAUCGGAAUUACUGGGCGUAAAGCGUGCGCAGGCGGUUUGCUAAGACAGGUGUGAAAUCCCCGGGCUUAACCUGGGAACUGCGCUUGUUACUGGCAGGCUUGAGUGUGGCAGAGGGGGGGUGGAAUUCCACGUGGUAGCAGUGCAAUGCGUAAGAGGAUGUGGAGGAACACCGAUGGCGGAAGGCAGCCCCCUGGGCUAACACUGG